AUAAAUAUGUGUUAAUUAAGCUUUAAUUUUGAUUUUGAUAAAUGUUAGGGUUAUGAAAUUUGUGUUUUGAGUUUGAUUUAUGAGUUAAUUUGGAUGUUGUAGGGUUAAUUGUUGUGGGUAUUUGAUUAUUUGGUUGAUUUUGAGAGAUUGAAUUGAAAGAUGAUGAUUUUGAGUUAUGAUUUUGUUUGAAUGGUGAAUUUGUGUUAGAAAUAAGGAAAGAACAGUGGGUUUUCUGUUGGAAUUCUGGGUUGGAGGUUGAAGAUGACAAAAUUUCGGUUUGGUCCCUCAAUUUUGGAAAAUUACAGUUUAGUCCCCAAACUUUGGAAAAUUUGCAGAUUGGUCCCUGGAGCCUAUUCCGAGAAUCUGAACAGAAUAACAUAUGAAUUAUGGACAGAAUUAUUGUAUAGAUAAGAGAAUUUAACACUUUCAAUUUGGUCCUCCAAUUUGAUAAAAAUUACAAUUUGACCCUAAAAAAAUUUGGUAAAAUUCCAGAAUGGUCCUUGGAGUAUAAUGAGAUGAUCUGGACAGAAAUGAGGACUAAUUAUGGUCAGAAUUUCAGUAUAUUCAUGGAUUUAUGAUAAAUUUCAGUUUGGUCCUCCAAUUAGACAAAAAUUACAAUUUGGCCCUAAAAAUAGGAUAAAUUACAGAUUGGUCCCUAGCUGUAAUAUUAGCUUUUCAGAUUAGUUUGAUGAAUAAUUAAGGGUUAUUUAGUGAAUUAUUGCCAAUUUUAUUAGUUGUUUUAUUAUGGAUUAGAUUUCGGGAAAACCGUUAAAUUUUGAGUUUUUGAGAAAAUUGACUAGUUAGUUCAAAAACAUAUAGGGUUACGGAAUACAUCAUUAGUUAAGUUUAUUAAAUAGGUUAAAUGUUCUUUUGAGUCGUUCUUGAAUAUGUCUCCUUUGUAUUCAGAUAAUCCUGAUAUUCUACCGACAGGACGUCAGUAGGAUUUUCUUCGGUGUCUGCUUUUGGCUUCUGUUUGCUUUUGAGUCAGGCUUAUAGCUUGAUAGCAGGUUACUUUUGUUGAACCUUCCGAACCUGCUUUUUGGUUGUAAUUUGUACCUUCUUUUUUUUGUCAAGUUAGUGCUCCAAAACUAUGUAUUAUAUUAACUCUUGUAUUAAGACAAUUCAAUUAUAUUAGGAAGUUGAUUUUGUUAUUAA